rnacentral:rRNA from 1 species
GACAGAGGUGCCGAGCGUUAGGCGGAAUCACUGGGCUUAAAGCGUGUGUAGGCGGGCGAUCAAGUACCUUGUGAAAUCCCACGGCUCAACCGUGGAACCGCUGGGUAUACUGGUUGUCUUGAGCCGGCUAGGGGCGAGCGGAACAGACGGUGGAGCGGUGAAAUGCGUAGAUAUCGUCUGGAACGCCGAAGGUGAAAACAGUUCGCUGGGGCCGCGCUGACGCUGAGACACGAAAGCCAGGGGAGCGAACGGG